rnacentral:rRNA from 1 species
AAUGAACGCUGGCGGCGUGCCUAACACAUGCAAGUCGGAUGUGCCCGCAAGGGUGCAUGGCAGACGGGUGAGUAACGCGUGGGGAAUCUACCUUUUAGUGGGGAAUAACGCUCCGAAAGGAGUGGUAAUACCGCAUGUGACCAUUGGCUGGGAUGCUGAUGGUGAAACCCUGGGACCUUCGGGCCAGGGGCUAGAAGAGGAUCCUGCGUCUGAUUAGCUAGUUGGUGGGGUAACGGCCUACCAAGGCGACGAUCAGUAGCCGGCCUGAGAGGGUGAUCGGCCACACUGGAACUGAGACACGGUCCAGACUCCUACGGGAGGCAGCAGUGGGGAAUUUUGCGCAAUGGACGAAAAGUCUGACGCAGCAACGCCGCGUGGGUGAUGAAGGUCUUCGGAUUGUAAAACCCUGUCGCCGGGGACGGAAGGUGGUUCAGUGAAUAGCUGAGUCGCUUGACGGUACCCGGAAAGG